rnacentral:rRNA from 1 species
AUUGAACGCUGGCGGCAGGCCUAACACAUGCAAGUCUAACGAGUGGCUGACGGGUGAGUACUGUCUGGGACACUGCCUGAUGGAGGGGGAUAACUACUGGAAACGGUAGCUAAUACCGCAUACCAUCAGAUGUGCCCAGAUGGGAUUAGCUGGUUGGUGGGGUAACGGCUACCCAAGGCGACGAGCCCUAGCUGGGCUGAGAGGAUGACCAGCCACACUGGAACUGAGACACGGGCCAGACUCCUAAGGGAGGCAGCAGUGGGGAAUAUUGCACAAUGGGCGCAAGCCGGAUGCAGCCAUGCCGCGUGUAUGAAGAAGGCCUUCGGGGUGUAAAGUACUUUCAGCGGGGAGGCGUUACCCGCAGAAGAAGCACCGGCUAACUCCGUGCCAGCAGCCGCGGUAAUAC